rnacentral:rRNA from 1 species
AUGGCAGUGGAAGGAGUCGCGGGGUUGCUGAAGGGCCUGAAACUUUCGGAGGAAGAGAGGAAGGGUGUCAAGGUGCGGCUGUCAUCUAGGGUGAGUGGAAAGGAGUCGAUGGUGCAGGCGGUGGGUAAGGUCAUGUCCGAGAAGUUAGCGCACCCAGAUGCGAUCUGCCUCUCUCUAGGCAGGGUUUGGUGCCCGAUCAAGGGGAUUGACUGCAAGGAGAUUGGAGCGAAUCAGUUCCUUAUCACGUUUCAUCAGGAGUCGGGUAAGCGGAAGGCGAUUGAGGAUGGACCAUGGAUGUUUGACAAAGAAGUUAUGGUGGUGGAGGACUACGUGCCAAGUAAGAGGCCAGAGGAUUAUGCCCACAACAAUAUCCCUAUUUGGGUUAGGGUUUAUAACCUUCCCCUUGGCAUGAUGAAUGAGGAAUUAGCAGAG